rnacentral:rRNA from 1 species
GACGAACGCUGGCGGCGUGCUUAACACAUGCAAGUCGAACGGAAAGGCCCUGCUUGCAGGGUACUCGAGUGGCGAACGGGUGAGUAACACGUGGGUGAUCUGCCCUGCACUUCGGGAUAAGCUUGGGAAACUGGGUCUAAUACCGGAUAGGAGCCAUCUUUAGUGUGGUGGUUGGAAAGUUUUUUCGGUGUAGGAUGAGCUCGCGGCCUAUCAGCUUGUUGGUGGGGUAAUGGCCUACCAAGGCGGCGACGGGUAGCCGGCCUGAGAGGGUGUACGGCCACAUUGGGACUGAGAUACGGCCCAGACUCCUACGGGAGGCAGCAGUGGGGAAUAUUGCACAAUGGGCGCAAGCCUGAUGCAGCGACGCCGCGUGGGGGAUGAAGGCCUUCGGGUUGUAAACUCCUUUCGCUAGGGACGAAGAUUUGUUGUGACGGUACCUAGAUAAGAAGCACCGGCUAACUACGU